GACGAACGCUGGCGGCGUGCUUAACACAUGCAAGUCGAACGGUGAAGCUCCAGCUUGCUGGAGUGGAUCAGUGGCGAACGGGUGAGUAACACGUGAGCAACCUGCCCCUGACUCUGGAAUAAGCGCUGGAAACGGCGUCUAAUACUGGAUACGAGAAGGGUCCGCAUGGGCACUUUCUGGAAAGUUUUUCGGUUGGGGAUGGGCUCGCGGCCUAUCAGCUUGUUGGUGAGGUAAUGGCUCACCAAGGCGACGACGGGUAGCCGGCCUGAGAGGGCGACCGGCCACACUGGGACUGAGACACGGCCCAGACUCCUACGGGAGGCAGCAGUAGGGAAUAUUGCACAAUGGGCGGAAGCCUGAUGCAGCGACGCCGCGUGGGGGAUGGCGGCCUUCGGGUUGUAAACCUCUUUCAGCAGGGAAGAAGCGAAAGUGACGGUACCUGCAGAAGAAGCACCGGCUAACUACGUG
rnacentral:rRNA from 1 species